GACGAACCGUGCGAACGUUGUUCGGAAUCACUGGGCUUAAAGGGCGCGUAGGCGGCUCGCGAGGUCGGGGGUGAAAUCCCGCAGCUUAACUGCGGAAGGGCCUCCGAUACCGGCGGGCUGGAGGAAGGUAGGGGUGCGCGGAACUUCUGAGUGGAGCGGUGAAAUGCGUUGAUAUCAGAAGGAACGCCGGCGGCGAAAGCGGCGCACUGGACCUUUUCUGACGCUGAGGCGCGAAAGCUAGGGGAGCAAACGGG
rnacentral:rRNA from 1 species